GACGAACGCUGGCGGCGUGCUUAACACAUGCAAGUCGAACGAAGUGGCGAACGGGUGAGUAACGUGUAAUCAACCUGCCCUUCAGAGGGGGACAACAGUUGGAAACGACUGCUAAUACCGCAUACUGAAGGAGUGGCUUGCGUCGGAUUAGCUAGUUGGGGGGGUAACGGCCCACCAAGGCGAUGAUCAGUAGCCGGUCUGAGCGGAUGAACGGCCCAAAUGGGACUGGGACAAGGCCCAGACUCCUACGGGGAGCAGCAGUGGGGAAUCUUCCGAAAAGGAGGAAAGUCUGACGGAGCAAAGCCGCGUUGGUGAUGACGGCCUUCGGGUUGUAAAGCUCUGUUAAUCGGGGCGCGGUACCGGAAUAGAAAGCCACGGCUAACUACGUGCCAGCCGCCGCGGUAAUUC
rnacentral:rRNA from 1 species